CAGACACUCUUAUCUCCUAAAUUGAUGUAUGAGUCUGUGGUGCAUCAUUUUUUGUUCCUGAGGUUCAAGCAUCAAUGCGCCUCUUCCAGUGGAUUAUGGCAUAAGGAUCUCUUUGUUCGAAGUUGGAUCCAUAAGGUGUGAGUGGGUCACCAAUGAGCUGUGCCACUUCCUCCGUUGGAUCUGUGAUGCUCGAGGGUUUAUGUGUUUCCUAUCAAUUACUUGCUUUCAUAAAGAUCCGGACGACGACAGUGGUGAAGAUGGCUCCGUGUUUUUCACCUUCCUUUGGCUUUAUAUGUCUUCUCCGGUGAUCAACGGGGUCAAUUGGGUCGAGCAACGUUCCUCGCUGCUUCUUGAUUAAUCGAGUCAUGGUUCCAGGCUAUUGACAUAUUAUAAUUAAGGUUUUGGUCCUGCUGUUAGGCCUAUUCUUGGGUGCGCUUAGUUGAAUUUACUUGUAUUUAGAACUAUUUUAUAAUGGGCAUAGACAUUUUUUACUCAAUGAAAUGUCACAAAGGCCUUUUGCACUGGUAAUUUUCCCUGGCAAUCCCCCAACUUUGGAUCAAUAUAUCUUUGACUAUCUUACGGUAAA